GAAUACCUACACUUGAAAACCCAAAACACCUAUACCUUCGAACCCUCAAAUAUUUCAAUUCCCCAAACCAGAUUACACUACACCUUUCCUUUUCUGUUAUGGUUAGAAAAAAAGGGGGCUCAACAACAUCAUCUAGUUCAAGCUUGCUUCAAGGAGUUUAAGUCUUGUGUUCAAGUAUACAAGCUAAAGAUUUCUUUCUCUCAUUCUCUCACCUUCUCCUUGCUUGCUCUACGGCACGACAAGGUUAUUUCAAGCUUCGGGAUUUGCUUCUCUUUGUUUGAUAUAUGAAGUAUUUUGCUUUAUUGAUCAGGUUGCAUUUUCAAAACUAUGGAACGGUUGGAAUAGGAGAACCCAUUGGAGAUUCGAGUACUUAGCGGCGUUCACUGUUUAGAAGUCUUAGCCUUUUGCUUCCGCUGUGCAAUGAAGAUACCGGUCCAGUCACACCAGCUCUGAUAAUUUCGGGGUGUGACACUAUUUGACAUUCUUUCUUUGUGGGGGAUAUGUAUGUUAAAUACCUAUGGUGGAGUAAAAGUUGUUUUUUCUGCCAUGAAGAUGAUCGACUCAGAACCACGAGGCAGCUUGAAAGAGCCGGUUGAGGAUAAAAGUAACUAAGUGCAUUCAAGUUGUUAAAAUCUCGAAAUAUGCCGGUUGGGGCGUGAUGGCCAGUCAUCGCAGGUCCACUUGAAUUCAUUGAUGCGAUGACUUUAGCACAGGCGUGGACUCUUCUGUAUCCAUUAUCUACUUAUAAGGUCCACUUGAAUUUGCUGAUGCAAUGACUUUAGCACAGGUAUGCCACCUAUUGUAUUCACAAUUUCCAUUGAUUUCUCUACAUUAAUUAGUUGUUCACUGUUUACAUUCAUUCCUAUAGUUCUAUGCAUGUUAUGUUUUAAUGACACCUUUAGUGGUCCGGGUUUUUUUUUUCCGGAUAUUGUUUUGCUAAGUGUUUGUUUUAAAAUCGUCGUUAGUUUUUUACAUGUUUGAAGAGCAGGUUAAUCAGGAGAAGCUCAUAUUGUUACAUAAUCCUACAUUGAUUUAAAUUGCUUUAACAUGUACCACCAAGUAAGCUACUUUUUGAAUCAAUACUUUUUCAAGUUUUAAGUUUCUUGAAGAAAAACUCAUUUGUUCCAACAGGUGUAAUAGGAAAAAGUCACAGACGAAUGCUUAUAGUAUUUUUUGUUGUUUAUAUUGCUUUUUGAUUAUUUAAUAUAUUUCUUUUAAUAAAAGCUCAUUUGUUCAUACUUUAAAAACAACUUUUUGAUUAAACUUUUGGCCAUUUAUGAUUUAUUUUGGCCAUUUAUGAUGUAUUAUUGUUGAACAAAAUACCACUUUGAAUAAAUUUUGAUCCAUUUGACCCAUUUCUAUUUAAAGAUAUUUUUUGAUAAAAUAUUGUAGUUCGAAUAAUAUAGCGCAUUUAAUAAUUUGUUUAAUUUAAAUAAAAAAUCAUAGCAUUGGUCAAUGGUGGACUUUCUCCUUCAUCUCAGGUCCUCAACAUGCCAUUGCCACCAGAUUUCAGUAUGGUUGUUUUUGUGAUUUAUAUAUGGGUUUUUCAACCGGAAAGCUAUUGGGUCGGUUAAUCAAGAGUUUAUAAUAAUGGGAAUAGAUCUACAUUAACAUUGUUAAAUGAUAUAAUUUACUUUGAGACCACCUGUGUAAUACUUAAUUUCAGUUAUAAGAAUGGUUUAGAGAUUUAUGAUUUAUAAGUGUUUAUAAUUUUUUGUGAGACCACCCGUGUAACACACGGGAACUUAGACUAGUUAGUCUUAUAUGUAAUAGUUAUGAGGUUUGU
rnacentral:lncRNA from 1 species